ACUAGUAUGAACGGCACCACGAAGGUUAUACUGUCUCCUUUUUCUAAUCAGUGAAACUAAUCUCCCCGUGAAGAAGCGAGGAUAAAUAUAUAAGACGAGAAGACCCUAUGGAGCUUUAAACCACACAACACCUGCUUCGAUCUAACUACUUCCAGAAAACCCCCACUUACCCAUGCAGGAUGAUUGCCAGUUUUAGGUUGGGGUGACCGCGGAGCACAAAAUAACCUCCACGUUGAAAGGAGCUCCACUCCUUAGCCAAGAGCCACACCUCCCCGCAUCAACAAAAUGACAAUAAUUGACCCAAUAUAUUGACCAACGAACCAAGUUACCCUAGGGAUAACAGCGCAAUCCACUUUAAGAGCCCCUAUCGACAAGUGGGUUUACGACCUCGAUGUUGGAUCAGGGUAUCCCGGUGGUGCAGCCGCUACC
rnacentral:rRNA from 1 species